AUGAAGAAUAAGUACAAGGUUGAGAAGGCCCAUUGGCCAAAUAUUUCCUUCUUACCAAAUCUUGCUGAUUUGGACGAACUCCAUAUCUGGAGGCAUUAUUUUGUCCAUGUGGUGAUGGCGGGGUGGGACAUUAAUCCCAUUCAUGCGGUGAGGCAUUACUUUGUCCAUCUGACGGUGGCGGGAAAGAGACAUCAUUCUGAUUAUGUUCGUGUGACGGACCAACAUUUUCAUCUUGCACUGAGGCUGAGGCAGACCGCAUUGGGUUUGGGGACUGAUGCAGCGUACCUGUUCCUUCUUUUCUCCACCGAUUCGACGACUCGCCGUGAUAUGGCGAUAGGCGGCGAGUACGGCGUACGGAGGGAUACGGACGAAAGCCAAAGACAGGUUGACUGGGCCUUCGUCACGCGCUGGGCUGCACUUGAGUUGUGCUGGGUGGAGCCUUGUACAGGUGUCCCUCUAGAAAAAUUAGGGGUGUCCCAGGGUCGGCCCCCUGGACACCACAUGCCCAGAUUGCUCAUUCCAUGGUCGGGCACGCUGAUGGCUACAACGCUAACUCCAAACACACUGCUGGUUGAGCCUGCGCAGGCCCUUGUGUGUGAUCAUAGCCACACCGGCCUUGCUUGCUGUCCAUGUGCUGCUCCCCAAUGUCGCCCCAUGCCUCAGCGCGCCGCGUUAGCAACUGUCGCUUGUGGAUGUUAUACUGCUCAUGCAAUCCGUGUGUGCGGCGUCAGUAGAUGUAAGAAGGGAAGGACCAUCAAAUUGUGUGAUUACCUGCAGAAGUUCGUGCAAACGACACGAGGGAACUUAGUGCCCCAUCAUUCCUUCGGUGUGGGCCAACCAGCAAAAUAUUCCAUGAGCCAUCUAAAUUGUGUGGAGGUCGGACAAGUAGAACUGCAGAAUGUGCAAGAACUUGACAAGGGGUUGAAAGAUGAGAGGGAAAAGGAGAUCGGGGGGUUACUCCCGAAUUGCCACACGCAGCCUUCUCUCCCCCAGAAACGCCGCCGCCGCAGCCGCCGUCUCCUCAUCUCGUUUCUUUCAGCCGCCGCCAGAUCUGGGGAGCCACCGGGAGGAGAACAACCAGCCAGACGCCACCCCCGUCGACCUAACCCGCAUCUCCCUCGCGCCCAUCGUCCCCUCUUGGCGCCCCCGCCUCUCCUCUCCCCCAUUCUCCUGCCGCAUCCCAUCCCCUGCUCUGCCCUUGCUCCUCCGCCGUUCGAGUUGAGUCGUUGCUGCAGAGAGCGCCGCCUUCACUCUCCCAGGCCUUCUCCCCAUCCGCGACGUCGGCACACGGUGCGGGCAAGCUGUGGCGUGUCGUCGCCGUGCUGGGUUGGCCGGCCGGUGCCGCGCGGAUCCGGUUGGACGAGGUCGUUGGCGACCUGCCGCGGGAGGGGGACAGCGGGAUCUGCGCCAGGAGGUCCAGGGCACGUUGCUGCCGCUCGUGCAGCAGAACGACGGCCUCACCGACGCGUCCGGGGAGAACUGCGUUGGCCUGGUCUUGUAAUGGGCAGCAGCAGCCCGCACCCGAGGUGCAGAGCAGCUAGAACCAGUGAUAAUCGUGAGAUCCUGCGGACAACGAUGGAGCUUCUUAAUCAGCUGGAUGGAUUUUAUAAGCUUAGCAAGGUUGAAGGUGGAAUCGAACUCCGAGCUCGAGGUUGCGCUGGUGCAGUGGUGGCUGCGAUCGGGCCCGAUCUAGGAAAAAUCUUCCUCGUUUUUGGUCUGCAUGGCGAUGAUCUGUUUCUUCAGGAUCCGCUCGUUGCCAGAGCUGGCUCGGGACGCCUCCUAGACGACGACACACUUGAAGCGAGCGGAACACUGAAGGAGGAUCUCGGGGAUGAAGGAAGCGUCAGCGACGACCUCAGGCGAGAGAGCUGGCGUGGGAACAUCAGUAAGGGCUUGGAGCCUGUCAAAGAGGAGGCAAAGAGGACACUGCUGAUGAAACAUGAGGCCGAGACAAAAACAAAUGCCUAUUGGCUCAGUUUGCUAACCCAUAUGCAGUCUGCAUUCGUGCCGAGAAAGCAUCUACAGCCGAAGACAUCAAAUGCAGCCCCUCAAACGCCCACGUCCGCGGCCACUAACCGAGCACUCAUCAUUUUGCUGUCCGUGUAUCUCAAAUCCGGCCUCUCAUAUAUAUGCAACACAUGCAUGUAUCCCCGCAAAAAAACACAUGCACGGUGGAGGAAAUCACCAUUUCCUCGCCGCCCCCAUCCCCUUGCAGUCGGUGGUGCUGCUUUGGCCUUCGGUGUAGGCAUCAGCCGCUGGAGGGUUGUCAUCGUCGUCGGAGCUUUGAUCUGUCAUCGGAGUCGUCCAACAGCUCCAUGUGACCCCGGCAAGCCUCCGGAGCAAGGGUUCUCGCUCCUCGCCUCCGUGCACCCAUCUUCGCCGUUGCCAAGGAGCGUUACGGAUGCAAUGAGUGCGUCCUCGAGAUCGACAGGCGCGCGCAAGUGUCUGGCGCCUCGCCGACGCAUCGCCCGCCGCCAUGGCAUCCCUCACGCAGUGCGGCCCACGUCUCCGACUCGGGCGUCCUCAAGCGGCCCAGCGCCGACGAGGAUACAAGCACCCAACGGUGCCCGUGGAUGCCCUUCGGAGGUAGAAUGGACGUGGUGGCGGUGGCGUGGCGUACUUGGAGUGGGUGUCGCUCCCACCAGUGCUGCGCUGGACGGGGCGGCCUGA
rnacentral:rRNA from 1 species